rnacentral:rRNA from 1 species
UACGUAGGGUGCGAGCGUUAAUCGGAAUUACUGGGCGUAAAGCGUGCGCAGGCGGUUUUGUAAGCCAGAUGUGAAAUCCCCGGGCUUAACCUGGGAAUGGCAUUUGGGACUGCAAGGCUUGAGUGCGGCAGAGGAGACUGGAAUUCCUGGUGUAGCAGUGAAAUGCGUAGAUAUCGAGAGGAACACCGGUGGCGAAGGCGGCCUUCUGGACAGUGACUGACGCUGAGACGCGAAAGCGUGGGGAGCAAACAGG